UACGGGGGGAGCAAGCGUUGUUCGGAUUUACUGGGCGUAAAGCGCGCGCAGGCGGCACCUCAAGUAAGGUGUGAAAGCCCCCGGCUCAACUGGGGAGGGUCAUUCGAUACUGUUCGACUCGAAGGCAGGAGAGGGAAGUGGAAUUCCCGGUGUAGUGGUGAAAUGCGUAGAUAUCGGGAGGAACACCAGUGGCGAAGGCGACUUCCUGGCCUGUUCUUGACGCUGAGGCGCGAAAGCUAGGGGAGCAAACGGG
rnacentral:rRNA from 1 species